GAGCCUGAGCCAGCAUGGCGGCGCCCAUGUAACCCGGUUUGUGCCGCGAAAGGGACGACGACGGCCGUGGCGCUGGCCCCGCGCGGUCACAAGUCACCAUGCUGAGGACAGUGUGGAGGGCGCUGAGGUCGCUUCGGACCCAGGCAGUAGCCCAGGCCCCAGUCCUUGGGCUGCCAGGCGGAGCGUGUGCCAGGCCUCCCUCCCUCCAGUGGGGCCUUCCCUCUCCUCGCGGUGUCAUCCUCCCAGCCGUUCGUGGAUAUGCCACCCAGAAACCAGUCCAGCCCAGCCAAGAAGAUGACCCGCCCCCUGCCACGCUGCUCAAAGACUACCAGAACAUUCCUGGAAUUGAGAAGUUUGACGAUGUCGUGAGAAGACUCUUGUCUUUAGAAAUGGCAAACCAGAAGGAGAAGCUAAAAAUCAAGCAACAGCAGCUGAUGAACAAGAUUAUGGCAAACCCUGAAGACACCAGCUCCCUGGAGGCUCGAAUUGUUGCCUUGACUGUCAAGAUCCACAGUUACAAAGAACACAUGCAGAAACAUCAAAAGGACAAAGCCCACAAGCGCUAUCUGCUGAUGAGCAUCGAUCAGAGGAAAAGGAUGCUCGAAAAGCUCCGGAAGACCAACUACAGUGUCUUCGAGAAGAUAUGCAAGGAGCUGGGGAUUGAGUACAUCUCUACCCCUCUGUGCCACCGGAAAGGCCACCGACGCUGGGCAGCCAAGAAGGCCCUGUGCAUUCGGGUCUUCCAGGAGGUACAAAAGCACAAGAAGCAAAAAAGGGCCUUAAAAGCUAAAGCAGCAGCGGCCCAGAACAGGGCCAGAAGAACCCAGAGAGCCCUUCCAAAACUGGACCAGAGGCAGUCAAAGAAAACCAAUAAAUUUUAUUUUGAGUUCUGUCAAA